rnacentral:rRNA from 1 species
GACGAACGCUGGCGGCGUGCUUAACACAUGCAAGUCGAACGGAAAGGCCCUGCUUUUGUGGGGUGCUCGAGUGGCGAACGGGUGAGUAACACGUGAGUAACCUGUCCUUGACUUUGGGAUAACUUCAGGAAACUGGGGCUAAUACCGGAUAGGAGCUCCUGCUGCAUGGUGGGGGUUGGAAAGUUUCGGCGGUUGGGGAUGGACUCGCGGCUUAUCAGCUUGUUGGUGGGGUAGUGGCUUACCAAGGCUUUGACGGGUAGCCGGCCUGAGAGGGUGACCGGCCACAUUGGGACUGGGAUACGGCGCAGACGCCUACGGGGGGCAGCAGAGGAGAAGAUUGCGCAAUAGGCGGAAGCAUGAUGCAGCAACGCCGGGUGCGAGAUGACGGCCUUCGGGGUAUAAACCGCGUUCGAGUGUGACGAAGCGUGAGUAACGGUACUGGGUAAAGAAGCACCGGCUAACUACGU